GACAGAGGAUGCAAGCGUUAUCCGGAAUGAUUGGGCGUAAAGCGUCUGUAGGUGGCUUUUUAAGUCCGCCGUCAAAUCCCAGGGCUCAACCCUGGACAGGCGGUGGAAACUACCAAGCUGGAGUACGGUAGGGGCAGGAGGGAAUUUCCGGUGGAGCGGUGAAAUGCGUAGAUAUCGGGAGGAACACCAGUGGCGAAGGCGACUAUCUGGGCUGCAACUGACGCUGAGGCGCGAAGGCUAGGGUAGCAAACAGG
rnacentral:rRNA from 1 species